rnacentral:tRNA from 1 species
GUCCAAGGGCGGGAAUCGAACCCACAACCUUCUGCUUACCAGGCAGGUGCCAUGUCCACUAGGCUACCCUGGA